AACUCGCCUACAUGAAGCUGGAAUUGCUAGUAAUCACAGGUCAGCAUACUGUGGUGAAUACGUUCCCGGGCCUUGUACACACCGCCCGUCACACCAUGAGAGUUGAGGAUACCCGAAGUCCAUGUCAAAGUGGCCGAAGGUAGGCUUGAUGAUUGGGGUGAAGUCGUAACAAGGUACC
rnacentral:rRNA from 1 species